CCUGGCAGGGGCGGGUGCACCCCGAGGGCCGGGCCGGGCCUCGCCUGCGGCUUCCCGGAACAAUAAGUCCCAGGGCUGCGUGUUGUAGGCGGGUCCCGGAGCUGGAGGGGAGCCACCGCUACCCCUCCCCGGGCGAUAGCCCGAGCCCCUCAGGACACCGGCCUUCUUCCCUCGAAGCCCGCCACCACCCGCCGCCCGAAGCCCGGGAGCCCUCGGAGAGCCCGGCCUCCACGCCGUGAGGUGUAGCAGCCUCCCUUACUGCCUGGAGAGCAACUGCCGGGAGACAGGACUGGAGCAGCAGACGCCACAGUUCAGGACCCUGAAAGCACCUCCUGUAUCCACCCACACACAUACUGCACACAAGAAAAAUCUGUGAGAGACAGUUUUGCCGAGGCUUCACAGCCUCUCUGAGCCAGCCAGAUCUACCAAGUUGAUUUUGGAAGUGAUAUACUUUUCAUCUGAUAAGGUCCGAGA